GCAGGGCACGGUGGCACACACCUUAGUCCCAGCUACUUGGGAGGCUGAGACAGGAGAAUGGCUUGAGUCCAGGAGUUCUGGGCUGUAGGGCGCUAUUCCAAUUGGGUGUCCACACUAAGUCUGGCAUUAAUAUGGUGACCUCCUGGGAGUGGGGGACCACCAGGUUGCCUAAGGAGGGGUGAACCGGUCAAGGUCGGAAAUGGAGCAAGUCAAAUCCUUGUCUUACAUCUUCUCUGUGGAUGCUGAGUGGGUGACUGCACAGUCCAGGUUCUUUACUCUCUUCUCUCUCA
ensembl:misc_RNA Metazoa_SRP Metazoan signal recognition particle RNA